rnacentral:misc_RNA from 1 species
AUGGUUCCUACUGCCUGUCCGCCCCUGCGCUCUGGACAGGAAGAUUUUGCAAAAAGAAACCGGACUCCCUUUACCUGUACAGCGACCAGCCAUCCUUCUUCUCAUUUGACUGCGAUGGAACUCCGUGUGCGGCAGCGUGUCCUGAAAACGCCACCGCCACCUGCAGUGGAGUGUCAAAAUCGGCAGGGUGCUCCAUUGAGCGCUUGUUAGGGGUAUAUGUGCCUGUGACUGUGGCUGCCACGGAUUUGUUCUGGUGGCCUGGGCCUGCCGACCUACUAGGCGUUGAAAGUCUGGGGAUUAACGAGUAUUACGCUAUAGAAUCUGCGAGAGACCAGUGGCAUCAUAUCAUCACAACAGGUCAUGAGGGAACAUCAUCCCUGCAAUGCGCCAUCUCCAGCAAAAGCCUCAACCUGACACUCCACUGCAUCGAGGACGAGCUCGGCGAGUACGACGACGUGAAGGACAUCGGCACCAGAGUCUUCCUGGGAAGUUACAGGCAGCGCUCCCAGAUUCCGACCUACUGGGCCUUCGGAUGUAACGUCGCUCCCGGAUGGUGUCCAGACGACGCAGCCGAGUGUCUGAACCAAGCAGCGAAAGUGGAAAUGUGUAUAUUGCAGAGGAAGUAGAUUGGUGGAUGGAGCUAGUGAUAGCCGUGGAAGUUAUUUUCCUAGUCAUUGGUCUCAUCUGGCUGUGGAAAGGCAUAUUUUUUCAAAUACGCAAGAGACGGACCCAGAAAACGAAGUUCAACAGAAUACAACGCUCUAAAGUUUAUAACAGGGAAGAGGAGACCAAGAACUUAUGAAAGAUUGAAGAAAAC